UACGUAGGGGGCAAGCGUUGUCCGGAUUUAUUGGGCGUAAAGAGCGUGUAGGCGGUUUGGUAGGUCCGUUGUGAAAACUCGAGGCUCAACCUCGAGACGCCGAUGGAAACCAUCAGACUAGAGUCCGGAAGAGGAGACUGGAAUUCCUGGUGUAGCGGUGAAAUGCGCAGAUAUCAGGAGGAACACCGGUGGCGAAGGCGGGUCUCUGGGCCGUAACUGACGCUGAGGAGCGAAAGCGUGGGGAGCGAACAGG
rnacentral:rRNA from 1 species